GAAUUCUGUGUGUAGGGGUAAAAUCCGUAGAUACACAGAGGAAUACCAAAAGCGAAGGCAGCACACUGGGUAAUUACUGACGCUCAGGUACGAAAGCGUGAGGAGCGAACGGGAUUAGAUACCCCGGUAGUCCACGCCGUAAACGAUGGAUACUAGGUCUUGGGAGACUCGACCCUUCCGGUGCCGAUUGCUAACGCAUUAAGUAUCCCGCCUGGGAAGUACGGUCGCAAGAUUAAAACUCAAAGGAAUAGACGGGGACCCACACAAGCGGUAGAGCAUGUGAUUUAAUUCGAUGAUAAGCGAGGAACCUUACCCAGACUUGACAGCACGAGAAUUUUCCAGAAAUGGAAAAGUGCCGCAAGGAACUCGGUGUACAGGUGCUGCAUGGUUGUCGUCAGCUCGUGCCUUGAGGUGUUCGGUUAAGUCCGUGAUACGAGCGCAACCCUUGUCUUGUGUUGUAUGUUUCACAAGAGACUGCCGACUUUAAGUCGGAGGAAGGUAAGGAUGACGUCAAAUCAGCAUGGACAUUAUGUCUGGGGCUACACACGUGCUACAAUGGCCAGUACAGAGGGCAGCAAACCCGCAAGGGGGAGCCA
rnacentral:rRNA from 1 species